AAAAAGGCAAAUCUUAGGUUUCCGUGCCAACGUUUGAUUGUCCGUCUUAUAUAAAAAAUUUUUAUAAUUAGUAUUUUCAUUGUUGUUAGAUAAUAAAACAUGAUUAAUACUUUAUGCGUGACUUAUCUUUUUAAUUUUUUUCAUAAUUUUUUUCAUAAUUUUUUUAAUUUUUUUAAAUAAGACGGACGGUGACAUGGAAAUCAGGGUU
rnacentral:pre_miRNA from 1 species